AACCAGCACCUCAAGUGGUCAGGAUGAUUAUUGGGCCUAAAGCAUCCGUAGCCGGCUUUGUUAGUUUUCGGUUAAAUCCAUGUGCUCAACGCAUGGGCUGCCGAAAAUACUGCAUGGCUAGGAAGUGGGAGAGGUAGACGGUACUCAGUAGGAAGGGGUAAAAUCCUUUGAUCUAUUGAUGACCACCUGUGGCGAAGGCGGUCUACCAGAACACGUUCGACGGUGAGGGAUGAAAGCUGGGGGAGCAAACCGG
rnacentral:rRNA from 1 species